GUGCUUAGUCGUUAGGACAAGAGGACACUCUGGAAUCCUGUUGGGAGGUGGAAUCAGAUGGUCCAUCUCAUCCCAAAAGCAGCUAAGGUUAAGCUGCAGUUUGGGCCACGUACUGAAGACGCCUGAAGACCUGGAGCCACCACAGCACGAGUGUCAAACACUGACAGAAGCACAUGGGUAGAGGAAAGACCUCUGCGACUGGCUGAUUGACCCCUGCUGAAAGCCGAGGACCUUGUUCACAGACGGGAACAGUUCUCUUCAUGAAUGAAGGUCAGAGACAAGUGGGUGCUGCCAUGGUGGACAACACAGUGUCAUCUAGAAUGGCUGAACCCCAACCCCCAGCACAUCAGCACCACAGAUGCCUUUGCCAUCUCUUAGAUGCCCUGAUGAAGCCAACAACUGUGAGUACUAUUCAUUGCUCAGGAUAUCAGGAGGAAAGAGAUUCAGUGACAUGGGACAGUAACAAAACAGAUAAAGUGGCUCAGGAAAUGGCUAUGCAGGAGCCUAUCCUGGUUACAGACCUGCAAGAGACAGCCACUGAGAACUAGGAUCGGACUAAGGGAUGGCCUCACUUAGAAAAGCCCCAAAUUGCUUAAAAGAUAAAGGACAAUGACACACUUGAGGGGAAGCUAUACUCCCCAGAGAACAAAGAAAAGACUCACUUUGCCAAAUAAAAAAAUAGACUCAUUUAAGAGAUAAAAAAUUUGUCC
ensembl:lncRNA